GAUGAUGAUGACUCCAAGAGUCAGGAUAAGAUUGAGGGAGUGGCUGGCGGCCAUCAGACCACCGCGGCAGUGGCGGUCUUAGCGGCAGCAGCAUCCGGAGGUUCAGGUGUUGCAGCAGCAGGUGUUUCAUACAACAGUCAGGAUGUGAGCGGUGAGUCAGCUGUCCUUUCAGAGUUCAGACACAC